UACGUAGGUGGCGAGCGUUAUUCGGAUUUACUGGGCGUAAAGGGUCCGUAGGGGGAUGAAUAAGUUUGAUGUGAAAUUUCGAGGCUCAACCUCGAACCUGCAUUGAAAACUGUUCAUCUAGAAUCCGGUAGAGGUAAGUGGAAUUUGUGGUGUAGCGGUGGAAUGCGUAGAUAUCACAAGGAACAUCAAAGGCGAAAGCAGCUUACUGGGCCGGUAUUGACCCUGAGGGACGAAAGCUAAGGUAGCGAAAAGG
rnacentral:rRNA from 1 species